rnacentral:rRNA from 1 species
AGAGUUGAUUAUGGCUCAGGAUAGAACGCUAGCGACAGGCUAACACAUGCAAGUCGAGGGGCGAGCAUAAAAGUAGCAAUACUUGGUGGCGACCGGCGCACGGGUGAGUAACGCGUAUGCAACCUACCUAUCAGAGGGGAAUAACCCGGUGAAAGUCGGACUAAUACCGCAUAAAACAGGGGCACCGCAUGGUGAUAUUUGUUAAAGAAAUUCGCUGAUAGAUGGGCAUGCGUUCCAUUAGGUAGUUGGUGAGGUAACGGCUCACCAAGCCGACGAUGGAUAGGGGAACUGAGAGGUUGGUCCCCCACACUGGUACUGAGACACGGACCAGACUCCUACGGGAGGCAGCAGUGAGGAAUAUUGGUCAAUGGGCGGGAGCCUGAACCAGCCAAGUCGCGUGAAGGAAGAAGGAUCUAUGGUUCGUAAACUUCUUUUGCAGGGGAAUAAAGUGCAGGACGUGUCCUGUUUUGUAUGUACCCUGAGAAUAAGGAUCGGCUAACUCCGUGCCAGCCGCUGC